rnacentral:rRNA from 2 species
CACAAGCGGUGGAGCAUGUGGUUUAAUUCGACGCAACGCGAAGACCUUACCUACCUUGACAUCCAGAGAAGAUCCAGAGAUGCAGGGUGCCUUCGGGAACUCUGAGACAGGUGCUGCAGGCCGUCGUCAGCUCGUGUCGUGAGAUGUUGGGUUAAGUCCCGCAACGAGCGCAACCCUUAUCCCUGGUUGCUAGCAGGUAAAGGUGAGAACUCCAGGGAGACUGCCGGUGACAAACCGGAGGAAGGUGGGGAUGACGUCAGGUCAUCAUGGCCCCUACGGCCAGGGCUACACACGUGCUACAAUGGCGCGUACAGAGGGAGGCAACUCGCGAGAGUGAGCCAAUCCCUUAAAACGCGUCGUAGUCCGGAUCGGAGUCUGCAACUCGACUCCGUGAAGUCGGAAUCGCUAGUAAUCGCGAAUCAGAAUGUCUGCGGUGAAUACGUUCCCGGGCCUUGUACACACCGCCCGUCACACCAUGGGAGUGGAGUGCACACAAGAAGUAGUGUAGUCUAAC